AGAGUUUGAUCAUGGCUCAGAUUGAACGCUGGCGGCAUGCCUUACACAUGCAAGUCGAACGCGAAAGGGGGCAACCCCCGAGUAGAGUGGCGAACGGGUGAGCAAUACAUCGGAACAUUUCCUGUAGCGGGGGACAACCCUCGAGAAAUCGAGGCUAAUACCGCAUACGAUCUACGGAUGAAAGUGGGGGACCGCAAGGCCCCACACUAUAGGAGUGGCCGAUGCCGGAUUAGCUAGUUGGUGGGGUAACGGCCUACCAAGGCGACGAUCCGUAGCUGGUUUGAGAGAACGACCAGCCACACUGGGACUGAGACACGGCCCAGACUCCUACGGGAGGCAGCAGUGGGGAAUUUUGGACAAUGGGCGAAAGCCUGAUCCAGCCAUGCCGCGUGAGUGAAGAAGGCCUUCGGGUUGUAAAGCUCUUUCGGCCGGGACGAAAUGGCGCGGGGUAACAUCCCGCGUCGAUGACGGUACCGGAAGAAGAAGGACCGGCUAACUACGUGCCAGCAGCCGCGGUAAUACGUAGGGUCCAAGCGUUAAUCGGAAUUACUGGGCGUAAAGCGUGAGUAGGCGGUUUCGCAAGUCCGAUGUGAAAUCCCCGGGCUUAACCUGGGAACUGCGUUGGAAACUACGAAGCUAGAGUGCGGCAGAGGGGGGUGGAAUUCCAGGUGUAGCAGUGAAAUGCGUAGAGAUCUGGAGGAACACCGAUGGCGAAGGCAGCCCCCUGGGUUAGCACUGACGCUCAUACACGAAAGCGUGGGGAGCAAACAGGAUUAGAUACCCCAGUAGUCC
rnacentral:rRNA from 1 species